rnacentral:rRNA from 1 species
UACGAAGGGGACUAGCGUUGUUCGGAAUUACUGGGCGUAAAGCGCACGUAGGCGGAUUUGUAAGUCAGGGGUGAAAUCCCGGGGCUCAACCUCGGAACUGCCUUUGAUACUGCAAAUCUCGAGUCCGAUAGAGGUGGGUGGAAUUCCUAGUGUAGAGGUGAAAUUCGUAGAUAUUAGGAAGAACACCGGUGGCGAAGGCGGCUCACUGGCCCGGAACUGACGCUGAGGUGCGAAAGCGUGGGGAGCAAACAGG